rnacentral:lncRNA from 1 species
CGCCCACGCCCGGGACGCCGCACGAGCGGCCGCGGCCCUCCCGGCGACCCGGGCCUCGCGCAGCAGACGCGCCGCCCGCCCGCGGAGCCCCGUGGCGGCCGCCGCCUCCUCGUCGUCGUCCUCGCCGGGCGCGGACAGCCGGUAUGUCUGCAGGAACAGCGCCCGCCGCGCCGCGUACUCCUCGCGCUGCCGGCACCGCGCGGCGUGCUCGCCCUGGCGCGGACACCCAGUCCCCACGGGCGCUGGCAUCGGCAUGACUGGCGCGCGAGCUGGCUGGUUCGAUUACGUGCUUGCUUGCUUGGGGGUGAGUCAGUGAGUGCGUUGCGGUGUCACGGUGUCCGUAGGAUCGGUUUUAUGGAGGUGGUCGGCUGAGGUGGGGUGGCAGUGCGGUGAGAGUGACGGGAGUUAGCAGGUGGUUGAACAAGAACCGGGCAAGUGGCAAAGCAACGGCUCUGUUUGUUUGGUGCCGAUGGUUGCACCGGG